rnacentral:tRNA from 1 species
AGAAUUUGGUGUAAUUGGUAGCACUAAGAAGUUUGAGUUCUUGAGUCAGGUUCGAUUCCUGUAAUUCUAG